rnacentral:rRNA from 1 species
CAGGAUUAGAUACCCUGGUAGUCCACGCUGUAAACGAUGAAUACUAGGUGUAGGGGGUAUCGACCCCCCCUGUGCCGCAGCUAACGCAAUAAGUAUUCCACCUGGGGAGUACGGUCGCAAGACUGAAACUCAAAGGAAUUGACGGGGACCCGCACAAGCAGUGGAGUAUGUGGUUUAAUUCGACGCAACGCGAAGAACCUUACCAGGUCUUGACAUCCCUUGAAAACUCUAGAGAUAGAGCUUCUCUUCGGAGCAAGGUGACAGGUGGUGCAUGGUUGUCGUCAGCUCGUGUCGUGAGAUGUUGGGUUAAGUCCCGCAACGAGCGCAACCCUUGCCGUCAGUUGCCAUCAUUAAGUUGGGCACUCUGGCGGGACUGCCGGUGACAAAUCGGAGGAAGGUGGGGACGACGUCAAAUCAUCAUGCCCCUUAUGUCCUGGGCUACACACGUACUACAAUGGCUACUACAAUGGGAAGCAAUAUCGCGAGGUGGAGCAAAUCCCCAAAAGUAGUCUCAGUUCGGAUUGCAGGCUGAAACUCGCCUGCAUGAAGUCGGAAUUGCUAGUAAUUGCAGGUCAGCAUACUGCAGUGAAUACGUUCCCGGGUCUUGUACACACCGCCCGUCACACCAUGAGAGUUUGUAAUACCCGAAGUCGGUAGUUUAACCUUUUACUAGGAGGACGCCGCCGAAGGUAGGACAGAUGAUUAGGGUGAAGUCGUAACAAGGUA